rnacentral:tRNA from 1 species
GGAGGAAUACUCAAGUGGUUGAAGAGGCGUCUCUGCUAAGGAUGUAGGACUGUCAUGGUCGCCUGGGUUCAAAUCCCAGUUCCUCCGCCA